rnacentral:lncRNA from 1 species
CUCCUCUGCCCUAGUCUUGUGUGCCAGGCACUGUACUGGGCAGUGGGCACCCUUCUAGGUCCUCUCUUCCUCCCCUGCCCUAGUCCUGUGUGCCAGGCACUGCACUGGGCAGUGGGCACCCUUCUAGGUCCUCUCUUCCUCCCCUGCCCUAGUCCUGUGUGCCAGGCACUGCACUGGGCAGUGGGCACCCUUCUAGGUCCUCUCUUCCUCCUCUGCCCUAGUCCUGUGUGCCAGGCACUGCACUGGGCAGUGGUGGGCACCCUUCUAGGUCCUCUCUUCCUCCCCUGCCCUAGUCCUGUAUGCCAGGCACUGCACUGGGCAGUGGGCACCCUUCUAGAUCCUCUCUUCCUCCUCUGCCCUAGUCCUGUGUGCCAGGCACUGCACUGGGCAGUGGGCACCCUUCUAGAUCCUCUCUUCCUCCUCUGCCCUAGUCUUGUGUGCCAGGCACUGUACUGGGCAGUGGGCACCCUUCUAGAUCCUCUCUUCCUCCCCUGCCCUAGUCCUGUGUGCCAGGCACUGCACUGGGCAGUGGGCACCCUUCUAGGUCCUCUCUUCCUCCCCUGCCCUAGUCCUGUGUGCCAGGCACUGCACUGGGCAGUGGGCACCCUUCUAGGUCCUCUCUUCCUCCCCUGCCCUAGUCCUGUAUGCCAGGCACUGCACUGGGCAGUGGGCACCCUUCUAGAUCCUCUCUUCCUCCUCUGCCCUAGUCCUGUGUGCCAGGCACUGCACUGGGCAGUGGGCACCCUUCUGGGCCCUCUAUUCCCCUUCCUCUGCCCAUGCCCUCCAGUAAAAGCUCUGAUCUGAGGAGGAGGAGAAGGAGGAGGAGGAGAGGACCCAGGGGGCCACAGAGGAACUGAGCCUGGAGGAGAGAGAGAGGAGGGAUAGAGGUUUCUGCUGAGAAGAAUGGAAAGAGAAGCAGAAAGCCCUGAUGGAUGCUUUACUGGCUCUGUGUCCUUCCCUGAACAAUCUCCCCUUUAAUGUGAUACCAAUGUGGUCCUGGGGCCUCAGUUUCCUCAUCUGUAAAAUCAGGUUGGACUCCAUAGCCUCUAAUGUUUCUUCCAGCCUUUGCUUUUUUUUUUUAACCCCUUCCCUUCCUUUUAAGAAUCAAUACCACGUAUUGGUUCCAGGAAAGAUCAGCAAAGGCUAGGCAAUGGGGUUUAGUGACUUGCUCAAGGUCACACAGCUAGGAAGCUUCUGAGGCCAUGUUUGAACCCCACCCCCAUCUCUACACCCGGCUCAAAUCCAAUGAGCCACCUGGCUGGCCCCCUCACUUUUUUUUAAUUUAAUGACCAAAAAUAUGGGGACACCUGAGGACGUUGUCGGCCGACAGUCAUCCUGUUGGCGUCUGCCUUUCUCAGAAGGACGAACAUCCGAAAUGUCACAGACAUCCCCGUUUGC